GUAGUCUCGCACAGAUGCAUAUCAAUAAGCGGAGGAAAAGAAACUAACAAGGAUUCCCCUAGUAACGGCGAGUGAAGCGGGAAGAGCUCAAAUUUGAAAUCUUAAAGGGUUUCCCUUUACGAAUUGUAGUUUAAAGAAGUGUUUUCUGUUGAGGUUUUGGUAAAAGUUCUUUGGAAUAGGACAUCAUAGAGGGUGAGAAUCCCGUAUUUGACCUUUACUUUCAACUUUGUGAUACACUUUCAAAGAGUCGGAUUGUUUGGGAAUGCAGUCCUAAAUGGGUGGUAAAUUUCAUCUAAAGCUAAAUAUUGGCGAGAGACCGAUAGCGAACAAGUACCGUGAGGGAAAGAUGAAAAGAACUUUGAAAAGAGAGUUAAACAGUACGUGAAAUUGUCAAAAGGGAAGCGUUUGACACCAGUGUUGUUUUUCUGAAAAUCAAUUAAAGAACUGUUUAUGCUAAGUUGUUUAGACUUUAUCAGCUAACUGUUUAGUUUUGAGCUUUUCUUUAAUGCACUUUUCAGUUAACAAGUCAACAUCAAUUUCUUUUGCUGUAAAAAAGCUUGAGGAAGGUGGCUUGAGAUUCGUCUUAAGUGUUUAUAGCCUCUUGCCUAUGCAGUCGGAGAGAUUGAGGUCUGCAGCGUAGAUCCUUCGGGGCUAAAUGCAUUUGUGCUAAGUUAUAGCAUUUUAUAGACAACUUGUUGACUAUGAUUUGUCUUGUAGCUUACUCGCUUAUGUUAUUUUACCUACGCUUAGGAUGUUGAUAUCGCGCUCUCACUG
rnacentral:rRNA from 1 species